UGAAAACGGCAGUCAGCUGGGAUUGGGGU
rnacentral:sRNA from 1 species